rnacentral:lncRNA from 1 species
GUUAGGAUCCAACUUCCUCACAUAUAAGACUGCAGAGGGUGUUAAAUGAGAGUGUAGCUGCCCAGGAACCUAGCAUUUAUUUCAGAUAUUUGACAUGUCAAAGUCAGCUUUUAUGGAGGUUUUCAGUCACCAAUGAUAGAAUUGAUUAAAGUGAUAUAUUUACAAAACACCAUGCCACAGGGGGCUGUAUCCUGCUGUGGCUUUUGGACUAGUUAUGACCAAUUGACACCUUGCCAGUUAAGCAAAGCAAACAGUAUUGUGAAAGCAAAGCUAGAAGCAGAAUCUAUUUUGAAUAGAGACAAUUGAGACCAAAGAUAUGUGACAGCUAGAAGCAAAAUCUCGAGUCAAAUGGGAAAGUGAAAUCCAAAUAUAUCAGUCAUCUAGAUGUAAACCCUAUUGUGUACUUUGCAAAUAGAGUUCAAAGUUAUAUUAGAAAGCUACAAGAAAAAACAAUUGGGAAUUGAAACAAUGGAGUCUUUUAGUCUGUUGUGAACUGAGAAAAUGGAAACCAGAGAUAAGUCAGCUAGAAGUAAGCCUAUUGUGAACUGAAAGAGUGGAGAUCAAAAUUGAGUCAGCUAGAUGUAAAACCUGAUUUAAGAGUGUGUGUACAACUUCUCCACUUCAGACAGAGAUGGGAAAAGAAUAGGUGAAACUUUGUAACUCUGUAAGAGGAUAAAGUAGAAGGGAUAAUAUAAUCUGGUAUACAGGAAAAAAAGCUGACCAUUGCUUUAGAUGCUCAAUAAAACAGUCUAUGUGGCAGGCAUAAUUUGAGGAGAUGUUUUGUUUUAUCAACAACUGGCUAUAUACAGUCGAAUACCGUUACCUCGAUAUUCAAGGGACUGUAAAAAUUGCAUCGACUUAUCCGAAGUUCGCCGUAACGAUAUCGACUAUCUGGGACGUCUAUAUUGUCCGUAUAUCCAAUUCCUUUUUAGAGGGUUUGAAAGGGGAAAGAAAUAACAAAAAACAUAUACAAAUGGUAACCACAGUGCUUCUGAGUUUGAUUUAUUACAAACAUUUUUGCUUAGAAAAACUCCUGAUGUUGUUUGAAGAAAUGUGGUAGGGAUAAACUGUCCUGAUGUUGUUUGAAGAAAUAUGGUGGGGAAAAACUGUACUGAUGUUGUUUGAAGAAAUGUUGUAGGGAUAAACUGUAAUGGUGUUGUUUGAAGAAAUGUGGUAGGGAAAGACUGAACUGAUGUUGUUUGAAGAAAUGUUGUGGGGAUAAACUGUACUGAUGUUGUUUGAAGAAAUGUGGUGAGGAAAGACUGAACUGAUGUUGUUUGAAGAAUGUUGUGGGGAUAAACUGUACUGAUGUUGUUUGAAGAAAUGUGGCGAGGAAAGACUGAACUGAUGUUGUUUGAAGAAAUGUUGUGGGGAUAAACUGUACUGAUGUUGUUUGAAGAAAUGUGGUGAGGAAAGACUGAACUGAUGUUGUUUGAAGAAAUGUUGUGGGGAUAAACUGUACUGAUGUUGUUUGAAGAAAUGUGGUGAGGAUAAACUGUACUGAUGUUGUUUGAAGAAAUGUUGUGGGGAUAAACUGUAAUGGUGUUGUUUGAAGGAAAUGUGAUAAGGAAAGACUGUACUGAUGUUGUUUGAAGAAAAUGUGGUGAGGAAAAACUGUCCUGAUGUUGUUUGAAGAAAAUGUGGUGGGGAAAGACUGUACUGAUGUUGUUUGAAGAAAUGUGAUAAGGAAAGACUGUACUGAUGUUGUUUGAAGAAAUGUGAUAAGGAAAGACUGUACUGAUGUUGUUUGAAGAAAUGUAAAAGACCUGUUGUUCCCUGCCCUGCUAAAGCCUGACUAGAGCAGCAUAAAAGUCCUGUUAUUCCCUCAAACUUGACUAGAGCAGCAUAAAAGUCCUGUUAUUCCCUGCCCUACUUAGGCUUGACUAGAGUGGCAUAGAAGGCCCUGCAUAGGCUUGACUAGAGCAAUGUAAAAGUACUGUUAUUCCCUGCCCUGCUUAAGCUUGACUAGAGCAACAUAAAAGUCCUGUUAUUCAUUGCCCUGCUCAAUCUUGACAAGAGCAGCAUUAAAGUCCUGUUAUUCCCCUGCCCUGCUAAAGCCUGACUAGAGCAACAUUAAAGUCCUGUUAUUCCCCUGCCCUGCUAAAGCCUGACUAGAGCAACAUUAAAGUCCUGUUUUUCCCCUGCCCUGCUAAAGCCUGACUAGAGCAACAUUAAAGUCCUGUUAUUCCCCUGCCCUGCUAAAGCCUGACUAGAGCAACAUUAAAGUCUUGUUAUUCCCUGCCACUAGAGCAAAGUCCCUUUAAUUUCUUGUCCUACUCAAUAUUGUCUUAAUUCGAAGUAAAAGUGUUGUCUAAUAUUCCCAAUCCUGCUCAAUUUUAUGUUACAUGACUUAAAAAGUCCUGGUAUUCCCUCUUCAAACUUGACCAGAGUGAAAUAAAAGUCCUGUGCUCAAACUUGAGAAGUCAUGUUUCCCUGCCCUGCUCAGACUUGUCUGGUGUGAAGUUAAAGUCCUGUUCUGUUAUUCUGUGCCCAGUCCUUCAGUUGUAUAUGAAUUCAGAUAAUGAACAGAAUUCAUAUGGUUUAUGAUAGAAAAUGAAAUGAAUUGCUAGAUUUUGGACUGAGAGGUGAAAUUAUUUAUGUAGGGAUAACGCAUGUUUUUCCUGUUACAGCGUCUGCAGAAUCCCGAGGGAUUGGUUGGUGCCCCGAGCCUGUAGGACCAAUUGGAAGUGAAAAUUUAAUGUCUUUGUUGGGAACUUGCUUAUCUCAAAAUCAAUUUUUUUUAUCAGAGGACAUAUUCAAGUCCCUUUCCAAAAACACAUGAAUAAAUGUCGUUUUAAGGUUUAGCAGUAUAUCACCAAAUCACAGAAAUGUUUGGUAAGCUAGGAACAACAUUUUACCUACAAUCUACCUGUCUAAUACCAUGUUUUACCUUACUGUCCUGUACCAUUGGAUACUUGAAAUAUUCUCAAAAGUUGUCCCCCUUUAUAAAAGAAUGCCAUUUGUGAAGAAAUAAAAGUAAAUAAUUGUUCAUGUAACAGUUCUUUAAAAAUGGUGAGUAUUUAAAGGCAUUGAACUUUCCGGAAGUAUGACCCCUUCAUGCAAUCCCUUUUUAGAAUUUUCAUAUGUGAGCAAAUUGAUGCUUUUGUAGACGUAUAUAUAUGUUUUAUAUGCUGUUUAAUUUUCAUGUAAAACGACUAUGUUCGAAAUUUUUUUUACUAAAACCUAGACCUAACUCUUUAGUAGACUUUCUGUUAUUUGGAAGUAAAACGCUCACUGCUUUGAAUUCAUACCUUUACUUUUUGUCUAGUUAUGCAGAAAAUGUGCACUUUUAUAUGUAUUGUAAUAGCAAAGUGACCUACAUUGAGUAGACUUUCAUUUAAGAUAAUUUUUAAAAAGAAAUGGUGUCAAAGUAGCAAGAAAAACUAUAUUCCAAUUCACAUGCAUUUCUUUCCGGCUUUUGUGUAUAAUUUGAAUAGUCUUUUAUAUUUAUUAAGCGAUAUGGUGAUAUUGUUAUAGUGUUGACUGACUUUGAUUUUUCACAAACAAUAAAAGUUAUUAACACCCUUUUUAACCUUUAAUUAACCUUGAAAAUUGUUCAUUCAACUGUAAAUAAAAAAGUUCUUGUAUGUC